UACGAAGGGGGCUAGCGUUGCUCGGAAUCACUGGGCGUAAAGCGCACGUAGGCGGCUUUCUAAGUCAGGGGUGAAAUCCUGGAGCUCAACUCCAGAACUGCCUUUGAUACUGGAGAGCUUGAGUCCGGGAGAGGUGAGUGGAACUCCGAGUGUAGAGGUGAAAUUCGUAGGUAUUCGGAAGAACACCAGUGGCGAAGGCGGCUCACUGGCCCGGUACUGACGCUGAUGUGCGAAAGCGUGGGGAGCAAACAGG
rnacentral:rRNA from 1 species